UACGUAGGGGGCAAGCGUUGUCCGGAAUCAUUGGGCGUAAAGCGCGUGUAGGCGGUUUCGUAAGUCUGCUGUGAAAGUCGGAGGCUCAACCUCGGGUCUGCAGUCGAUACGAGCAAACUAGAGUGUUGCAGGGGAGACUGGAAUUCCUGGUGUAGCGGUGAAAUGCGCAGAUAUCGGGAGGAACACCAAUGGCGAAGGCAGCUCGCUGGGACGGUACUGACGCUGAGACGCGAAAGCGUGGGGAGCGAACAGG
rnacentral:rRNA from 1 species